rnacentral:rRNA from 1 species
UCUAUGGCCAUACCACCCUGAAUGCGCCUAAGCAGGGUUGGGCCUGGUUAGUACUUGGAUGGGAGAAAUGUGAAUUAGAAUAGCUACUGGAA